rnacentral:lncRNA from 1 species
AAUCCUAAUUCUAAUUCGAUUCGUGUGUAACAUUUAUAUAUAAGUCCUCAUAUUAUUUACUAACGAUUAGUAAAUACACCCUGUAACUUUUACACAUAAAUACCUCUAAUUUACAACAAUUACAAAUUAAUCCUUUUACUAAUAAAUUAGUAAACUUUAGUAUUUAAUUAUAAUUGUAAUUAAUCCGUCCGAUAAACUUCUUUUAUCAUUUCCUAAAUAUCGAUCAUGCGCGAUUUCUUAUGUGUGUGACCUAAUAGGUUCAAUUUUGUCUGGUAGUGAGAUAUGAUGCGAUCCCCAUCUACAUCAUUAUCGAAACUCCUUUCG